GGGGUUGUAGCUCAGUGGUAGAGCGCUUGCCUAGCGUAUGUGAGGCUCUGGGUUCAAUUCCCCGGAACCACA
rnacentral:tRNA from 1 species